UGAGGAAUAUUGGACAAUGGGCGAAAGCCUGAUCCAGCCAUGCCGCGUGCAGGAAGACGGCCCUACGGGUUGUAAACUGCUUUUAUAUAGGAAUAAACCCCUCUACGUGUAGAGGGCUGAAGGUACUAUACGAAUAAGGAUCGGCUAACUCCGUGCCAGCAGCCGCGGUAAUACGGAGGAUCCAAGCGUUAUCCGGAUUUAUUGGGUUUAAAGGGUGCGCAGGCGGGAUAAUAAGUCAGUGGUGAAAUCUUCCAGCUUAACUGGGAAACUGCCAUUGAUACUGUUAUUCUUGAGUUUGGUUGAAGUAGGCGGAAUGAGGCAUGUAGCGGUGAAAUGCAUAGAUAUGCCUC
rnacentral:rRNA from 1 species